AAUGAACGUUGGCGGCGUGGAUUAGGCAUGCAAGUCGAGCGGGUGUAGUAAUACAUCAGCGGCGAAAGGGAGAGUAACGCGUAGUUACGUGCCCCGAGGUCCAGAAUAGCUACGGGAAACUGUAGGUAAUGCUGGAUGAUAUCUCCGGAUCAAAGGUGUGAUUCCGCCUCGGGAGCGGACUGCGUCCUACUAGCUAGUUGGCGGGGUAAUGGCCCACCAAGGCGACGAUGGGUAGCGGGUGUGAGAGCAUGACCCGUCUCACUGGGACUGAGACACUGCCCAGACACCUGCGGGUGGCUGCAGUCGAGAAUCUUCGGCAAUGAGCGCAAGCUUGACCGAGCGACGCCGCGUGCGGGAUGAAGGCCCUCGGGUUGUAAACCGCUUUCGGUUGGGAGGAAAUCGCCAGGGGUUCUCCCCUAGUGUUGACCUAUCUUCGGAAGAAGGACGGGCUAAGUUCGUGCCAGCCGCCGCCGUAAGAC
rnacentral:rRNA from 1 species